rnacentral:rRNA from 1 species
AUGUUCAUUAGUGAGGAUCUUACCAGCAUGAAGGAUGCCCUUGAGAGACUUUCAGAUUUGGAUGAGCUAGACAAGCAAACCAAAGGGUGGAGAGACCAAGUGAGGGAGAUGUCAUAUGGCAUUGAGGAAAUCAUCGAUGACUUCAUGUGUUGCGUUGGGGCAAAAAGUGAAACCGAUGGUUUUGGAAGGAAGACUGCGCGAAUCCCUAAAAAGUUGAGAGCCCACCACCAAAUUGCCGGACGGAUCAAUGAGAUCAAGUCACUUGUGCUUGAGACAAGUGCAGGACACCAAAGGUACAAACUUGAUAUUCCAGCGUCAAGUGAUGUAGCCAUUGACCCACGAGUUGCGACACGAUAUGAAAAUGUAGCUAACCUUGUUGGUAUGGAAGGACCAACAAUGAGCUUAUCAAUUGGCUCAUAG